rnacentral:rRNA from 1 species
GACGAACGCUGGCGGUAUGCCUAACACAUGCAAGUCGUACGAGAUUACUUUUUUUCGGAAAGAGUGGAUUGCAGUGGCGGACGGGUGAGGAACGCGUAAGAACUUACCUUUUGGUGGGGGAUAACAGUGGGAAACUGCUGCUAGUACCCCAUAAUGCUGAGGAGCUAAAAGUGAAAACUGCCCUUAGACGGGCCCGCGUCGGAUUAGCUAGUUGGUGGGGUAACGGCCUACCAAGGCGACGAUCCGUAGCUGAUCUUAGAGGAUGAUCAGCCACACUGGGACUGAGACACGGCCCAGACUCCUACGGGAGGCAGCAGUGGGGAAUCUUGGACAAUGGGCGCAAGCCUGAUCCAGCCAUGCCGCGUGAGUGAAGAAGGUCUUCGGAUUGUAAAGCUCUUUUGCCAGGGACGAUAAUGACGGUACCUGGAGAAUAAGCCCGGCAAACUUCGUG